ACAAUUCAUUGCUGACUGACCACAUCUCCAGCUGCCAAAUGUUUCCUCUAAAUGAGUACUCAUUUUAGUCCAAAGUAUCAGGGUUCACUUGAGUCCUGGGACUAAUGAUGGAGUGAGAUCUUCAACCAGGUUGAUCCCCACCAGCCAGAAAAGUUCUAGGCAUUCAUUUUGGAAUUCUGAGUUGGUUUCUGGGCAUUCUUUUCAAGCUAGGUUACUAUGUAGAAACUAGCCGUUAAGUGUCUACAGCAGCCACAAUGACAACUUUCUGGCUUUUUGCCGUUGGUAAUUUCUUCAUAACCACUCAAAGAUAAAAGAGCAAGACCUUUCCAGCAUCCAUGUAUAUAUUCGUCAUCUGUUAGCCAUGUCUAGUUAUGUUAUCUAGUCUUAUAUAAGGUUUGUACCAAGCAUUGAGAAUACAAAGAUGAAUAAGCUCUCAUCCUGAAGAACUCAGUCGAAUGGGAAGAAUGGCUUUCUAAUCUAGUGAGUGUACUAGAUUAGAUGUACUACAGGAGUACAUUUCAUGGCAGGAGCAUGAACAAAAACCUGCAGAAGGAAGAUUGGAUAUGAGAGAAGAAUUGAAUAUGCUUUCACACAAGGAAAUUGUGCUCCACCACAUGGACGGUGAUACUUUCUCCUGCAUCACCAUUGGGUCAUUGGCACAAAGAAGCAGAAAGCAGGAGCUUCUGGUUGCGUGGGAUCCCUGACGUCAGUUACGCGGCCGCAGAACUUGCAAGGGAGUCGAAGCCAUGUUUGUACCUCUGACUGAGGAAGGAUUGAAAUCGACAACUUGGAGUUUUCACAAACUGCAGAGAAGACAGGUUGCUUUCCUUGCCAUAAUCCCAUCAAUUUCCAAAGAGUACAAAAGUCCUUGAAGAAAGAAGCCUAUAGCUGUCAAAAAGAUGCAGGAGUCAUCUCAGGUGAAAUACUCAUUUGCAAGUCAGUAGAAAAUCAAAGCACUCUCAGAAAAUAGAAUCCAUGAGUGAUAUGGGGGAAAAAAAAAGAAAACAAAGUGGCCAAACUUUCCUCCAGAACCACAGAAUGUGAUAUAAUCUCAAAAAUCUGCAGGUGUUUGGCUAUCAUCCUAAAUAGCCCUGCCUCCUUUUCUAUAGCAGCUCUUAGAGAUUUUUUUUUUUUUUUUUUUUUGCAAGUGAUAAGGAGCAGGGGAAGGUUGUCUCAGUUCAGCUUUCCAGCAGUUGUUUCAUAAUACCUCUCUGCCAACAUGCACAUUGUUCCCUCUUAUUCUUUCUAGUCAAAGAGAGACCACAGUACAGGCUUCAGAAGCCUUUGUGUUUCUCUGUUUUUAAAUUUGGGAACAGCUGUAUCCCUUGCAGGCUAUUAUAAAGAUGCUGCCAAUGGCUACUAAGGCGCAUAAAUAAAGUAUUGUCUACAUAGAAAAUAUCCAGGUGAUAUCUUUUUAUCCAGGUGAAUUUCCUAGCCUAUCCCAGUUCCAGCAGAGAUUAGCCAAAGCUUUGCACCAAAUGGAAAAGAUGAUCUUAAGCAGACCUGGACUAUUCAUCUCUGAGAGAAAUAGCAGAUGUGUAAAUCAUCAGAAGGUGAACUGCGCAAAGCAUUUUUUUUUUAUAAAUGUGUUGCAUCCCUGGAUUUCUGCUGUUUACUCUUGAGCAAUUGUGAUUUUGAAAAAAUUUAUCCUCCUCUGUGAGAGUGAUUCACUUUCAUUGUAAUAGAAUGAGAUACCACAUAAAAGUAGAACUAGGAAAAAGACAGUCAUUCAUACUUUUAUCCAGAAUUCCAAACUCUUGUGUACAUGGUUUUUUUUUCAUUCUAUUAGAAUAAAACUUG